rnacentral:rRNA from 1 species
CAUCGGCGUAAAGAGUGGUUAAGUUAAAAUUCACACUAAAGCCGAACGUCCUCCAGGCUGUUAUACGCACCCGAAGAUAAGAAGUUCAAUCACGAAAGUGCCUUUAUUUAAUCUGAACCCACGAAAGCUACGGCACAAACUGGGAUUAGAUACCCCACUAUGCCUAGCCCUAAACAUUGAUAGUACCCUACGCCCACUAUCCGCCCGGGAACUACGAGCAUCAGCUUGAAACCCAAAGGACUUGGCGGUGCUUUAGAUCCACCUAGAGGAGCCUGUUCUAGAACCGAUAACCCCCGUUCAACCUCACCUUUCCUUGUUUUUUCCGCCUAUAUACCGCCGUCGUCAGCUUACCCUGUGAAGGACUAAUAGUAAGCAAACUGGUAA